rnacentral:lncRNA from 13 species
GGCUUCCCUGCACGUUGUUGGAGAGGGUAUAAAUGUUGCGAUCAAUACGAGCUCUGCUUCAAACCGUUCAAAGCGUCGCAACUGUUAAGCUGCAAUUAAGUAUCUCCGCCUUUGGCCAUCAGUUACAUUUUACUGAAGAUCUUGUGCAUCGAGCAAAUAUACAGUUAACAUUUAGUUAGCUAUCUGGCGAAAUGGAUAAGCAGCAGCAAGACAAUCGUGCAAACCAGUGCAACCCAAACCACACUAAAACCGGACCCGGUCGCGAUGCUAAAUAUGGAGGAACCGGUACCAAACCUGAUCUUGACAAUCAUGGCAAUCAAUUAAAUCCCAAUAAUCCGUUAUACAAAAAAUAAAAUGUAUUCAUGCUUGAGAAUUGGCAUUAUAUCUAUGAUGUACAUGCCUCAACAAUAUAUAAAUGACAUGAUAUCUUAAUAUUGUGAAA